rnacentral:rRNA from 1 species
AUUGAACGCUGGCGGCAUGCCUUACACAUGCAAGUCGAACGGCAGCACGGGUGCUUGCACCUGGUGGCGAGUGGCGAACGGGUGAGUAAUACAUCGGAACAUGUCCUGUAGUGGGGGAUAGCCCGGCGAAAGCCGGAUUAAUACCGCAUACGAUCUACGGAUGAAAGCGGGGGACCUUCGGGCCUCGCACUAUAGGGUUGGCCGAUGGCUGAUUAGCUAGUUGGUGGGGUAAAGGCCUACCAAGGCGACGAUCAGUAGCUGGUCUGAGAGGACGACCAGCCACACUGGGACUGAGACACGGCCCAGACUCCUACGGGAGGCAGCAGUGGGGAAUUUUGGACAAUGGGCGAAAGCCUGAUCCAGCAAUGCCGCGUGUGUGAAGAAGGCCUUCGGGUUGUAAAGCACUUUUGUCCGGAAAGAAAUCCUUGGCCCUAAUACGGUCGGGGGAUGACGGUACCGGAAGAAUAAGCACCGGCUAACUACGUG